UUAAAAGACCUUCUUACGAAGGUAUGCUUAAAGAGGGGCUUGCGCCACAUUAGUUAGUUGGUAGAGUAAAAGCCUACCAAGACGAUGAUGUGUAGCUGGACUGAGAGGUUGAACAGCCACAUUGGGACUGAGACACGGCCCAAACUCCUACGGGAGGCAGCAGUAGGGAAUUUUCGGCAAUGGAGGAAACUCUGACCGAGCAACGCCGCGUGAACGAUGAAGUAUUUCGGUAUGUAAAGUUCUUUUAUUGAAGAAGAAAAAGUAGUGGAAAAACUAUAUUGACGUUAUUCAAUGAAUAAGCCCCGGCUAACUAUGUGCCAGCAGCCGCGGUAAGACAUAGGGGGCGAGCGUUAUCCGGAAUUAUUGGGCGUAAAGGGUGCGUAGGCUGUUAGAUAAGUCUAUAAUUUAAUUUCAGUGCUUAACGCUGUCUUGUUAUAGAAACUGUCUUGACUAGAGUGAGAUAGAGGCAAGCGGAAUUCCAUGUGUAGCGGUAAAAUGUGUAAAUAUAUGGAGGAACACCAGAAGCGUAGGCGGCUUGCUGGGUCUUUACUGACGCUGAGGCACGAAAGCGUGGGUAGCAAACAGGAUUAGAUACCCUGGUAGUCCACGCCGUAAACGAUGAGUACUAAGUGUCGGGGUAAAACUCGGUACUGAAGUUAACACAUUAAGUACUCCGCCUGAGUAGUACGUACGCAAGUAUGAAACUUAAAGGAAUUGACGGGACUCCGCACAAGCGGUGGAUCAUGUUGUUUAAUUCGAAGAUACACGAAAAAUCUUACCAGGUCUUGACAUACUCUGCAAAGCUAUAGAAAUAUAGUGGAGGUUAUCAGGGAUACAGGUGGUGCAUGGUUGUCGUCAGUUCGUGUCGUGAGAUGUUAGGUUAAGUCCUAAAACGAACGCAACCCUUGUCGUUAAUUGCCAGCACAUAAUGGUGGGGACUUUAACGAGACUGCCAAUUAAACAUUGGAGGAAGGUGAGGAUUACGUCAAAUCAUCAUGCCCCUUAUGAUCUGGGCUACAAACGUGAUACAAUGGCUGUGACAAAGAGUAGAUGAAACGCGAGUUUUUAGCCAAUCUCAAAAAAGCAGUCUCAGUUCGGAUUGAAGUCUGUAACUCGACUUCAUGAAGUUGGAAUCGCUAGUAAUCGCGAAUCA
rnacentral:rRNA from 1 species